CCCUUAGAUGUUCUGGGCCGCACGCGUGCUACACUGAGUGGAUCAGCGGGUCAGGUUGCGCGAAAGUGUUUCCUAAUCUUGAAAUCCGCUCGUGAUGGGGAUUGACGGUUGCAAUUUUCCGUCAUGAACGAGGAAUACCUUGUAAGCGCGGGUCAUCAUCCCGCGCUGAAUACGUCCCUGCCCUUUGUACACACCGCCCGUCGCUCCUACUGAUUGAGUGGUCCGGUGAGGCUUUGGGAUCUGAGCAAAGAGAGCGUUUCGCUCGUUUUGCCCGGAAAACUCAGUCGAACCUUAUCAUUUAGAGGAAGGAGAAGUCGUAACA
rnacentral:rRNA from 1 species